GGGCGCUUGGUCUAGGGGUAUGAUUUUCGCUUCGCAUUUCGGGUCUCGCCUGGAAGCCGCAUGUGAAAGGUCGUGGGUUCAAUUCCCACAGUGUCCA
rnacentral:tRNA from 1 species